GACCUAGCGUAGUUCGGAAUUACUGGGCUUAAAGAGUUCGUAGGUGGUUGAAAAAGUUGGUGGUGAAAUCCCAGAGCUUAACUCUGGAACUGCCAUCAAAACUUUUCAGCUAGAGUUUGAUAGAGGAAAGCAGAAUUUCUAGUGUAGAGGUGAAAUUCGUAGAUAUUAGAAAGAAUACCAAUUGCGAAGGCAGCUUUCUGGAUCAUUACUGACACUGAGGAACGAAAGCAUGGGUAGCGAAGAGGAUUAGAUACCCUCGUAGUCCAUGCCGUAAACGAUGUGUGUUAGACGUUGGAAAUUUAUUUUCAGUGUCGCAGCGAAAGCGAUAAACACACCGCCUGGGGAGUACGACCGCAAGGUUAAAACUCAAAUGAAUUGACGGGGACCCGCACAAGUAGUGGAGCAUGUGGUUUAAUUCGAAGAUACGCGCAGAACCUUACCAACACUUGACAUGUUCGUCGCGACUUUAAGAGAUUAAAGUUUUCGGUUCGGCCGGACGAAACACAGGUGCUGCAUGGCUGUCGUCAGCUCGUGUCGUGAGAUGUUGGGUUAAGUCCCGCAACGAGCGCAACCCUCACUUUUAGUUGCCAUCAUUUAGUUGGGCACUCUGAAAGAACUGCCAGUGAUAAGCUGGAGGAAGGUGGGGAUGACGUCAAGUCCUCAUGGCCCUUACGUGUUGGGCUACACACGUGCUACAAUGGUAUUUACAACAGGAAGCAAGACGGCGACGUUAAGCAAAUCCUCAAAAAAUACCUCAGUUCGGAUUGCACUCUGCAACUCGAGUGC
rnacentral:rRNA from 1 species